rnacentral:rRNA from 1 species
UACAGAGGGGGCAAGCGUUAUUCGGAAUUAUUGGGCGUAAAGGGCGCGUAGGCGGCCUGACAAGUGGAAGGUGGAAUCCCUCGGCUUAACCGAGGAACUGCCCUCCAAACUGUCUGGCUUGAGACCGGGAGAGGUGAGUGGAAUUCCCAGUGUAGCGGUGAAAUGCGUAGAUAUUGGGAGGAACACCAGUGGCGAAGGCGGCUCACUGGACCGGUACUGACGCUGAGGCGCGAAAGCGUGGGGAGCAAACAGG